ensembl:lncRNA
AUGCCCAGGGCAUCUACCCAGAGGCAUUCUCCCCCCAAAUCUGCAGGUUUGGAGGUGCGGGGGGGGGGCAGAAGAUCUAUUGUGAGGAAGCCAAGAAGCAGAUGUCUGCCUCCCCUGCUCCCUCCCACAGGGCAAGGAUGUGAAACUAACCCAGAGUGGACGGUGAAGUGCAACUGCCGGGUGUUCUUCCAGUUCUGGAGAAUGCACAGCUUCCUGCUCAAUGCCAGCUGGACCUUCUUCCUAGAGAGAAGCAACUGCUGUCGGACACAUUGCUGGGGAAAGCCAGACAUGAGCCUCCUUCAGCACCGGACACAGCCUAGGAUCCUGCUGGGCUCAGGACCUCCCCUCCCAUCUCUAGUCCCACGAGACAUUUUCAUGGAUAUGAAACUGGACACCGAGUUGACGCUGAAGUUCAGCUGCUGGGUCAUCUUCCAUUUCUGGAGCCUGCUCAGCUUCCUUGUAAAACCCGGCUGGGCUUUCACCCUGGACAGGAGCAACUGGUUCGGAGUCAGUGGGGGUGGGCAGCGGCUCAGCCAUGAAGAAGCCGAGAAGCGAUGUCUGCCUCCCCUCCUCCCUCCCAGAAGAUCUGGAUGUGAAACUAACCCAGAGUGGACGCUGAAGCUCAGCUGCCAAGUAAUCUCCCAUUCCCGGAGAGACUGCACAGCUUCCUGCUCAAUGCCAGCUGGGCCUUCAUCCUGGAGAGGAGCAACUGGUAACAGCACUGUCCCUCGUGCCCUCAUAGCUAGAUUGCCAAGCAGCUGUUUGGAAGCAAGUCUUCCCACUACACCAGCCCUGCACAUUGUGUGUCCUCCAGAGGCACCAUAGAUUGGAAAUGAAUCCUGGUGCCUGGCUAGCAAGACAGCAGUAGCCAGUGAGACAUGACGAGAUCUCAGAAGGAGAGUAUAUGUGUGAACUUAUCCUCAGGCUCCUCUGUACCCUAGCUUUACUGCAAACACACAGGUAAAGUAUAAAUGGUGUCCACCUCAGAAAUGAAUCGCAUUCUGAGGCUUUUUACUCAUUCUCCUUCUAGUGCUUGGCUUACAGAGUGGGUAUAGAAUGAUGGAGUUACAUACAUGUGUGUUACUUUCUGAGUGCAUCCUUUAAUUCUCCCUGCCUAGGGCAUCAUUGCUCUUCAAGGGCAGGGGAAAAACCACCUCAGAUCAUAUAUUUAUAUCUUCUCUUCUCCCUGAACACUUUGUAACUCUCAGAAUCUUCUAGAAUCCAGGCACAGACAUUCAUGGAUACUCUAUCUUUUCAGUAGGCAAGAGAUUUUAGAAAGGGAAGCAGUUCUCCUGCCCUGCACCUAUUUUCACUGCACAAAAGUCAGUCAUAUCAAGUGUACAAGUUUAGUAACUGGAGGCCACUGGUGGGCUGCAGCCCAAUUCCAAAAGAAAGACAAUUAUUAUUUUUGGAAACAGUGUCCAAACUAAAAUAAUGCAGAUACAGUAGCCUGUCAAUAGAGUCCUUAAUAUUUUUCCUAAUCCUUUUUAUCCUUGGAGUUGGUGCUUUCUCAUGUAAAGAACCUACAGAAUCAUAGACUUAAUGCUGACUUAAGUUGGCUUUCCCAAAUAUCAAAUAUCAGGCAUUAUCUGUAGUUGAGGACCUUCAUGAGUUUGAAGAUCAUGUCAUUUUACACGGAGCCUUCUCUGUAAGGAUAAGACAAAGGGAUUUGUCCUUUGCUAAAAUGUUCAGUGGUGUAGCAGUAGAAAGGGGGGUCUGCCACUGUAGCACAGUGAGCUAAGCUGCUGUCUGCAGUGCCUGCAACCCUAUAUGGGCUCUGGUUUGAGUCCCAACUGUACUGUUUCUGAUCCAGCUCCCUGCUGAAGGCCUGGGAAAGCAGUGGGAGAUGGCACAAGUUCUUGUUCCACUGCACCCCCUUGGGACAUCCAGAGGAUGCUUCUGGCUCCCGAGUGGGGCCUGGCCUAGUCCUGGGUAUUGCAGCCAUUUGGGGAGUACAUUGAAUAUCUGUCUCUCUCUCCCCCUCUCCUUCUCUCUCUCUCUCAAACUGCAUUUCAAAUAAAUUUUAAAAAGUUCUUACUAGAAGAAAGAUC